rnacentral:rRNA from 1 species
AUGGCCCUUCGCAGCGAACUCGCCGACAUCAAGAAGCUGGACUCCUCCGCUACGACCUACAUCAACAAGAUGAAGGUGCUGGCGGACACACUCACCUCUAUUGGUCGGCCGCUUAGCGACGAGGAGUUCGCCGGCUUCGUCAUCAAAGGCCUCGACGCCGACUACGACAAUCUCGCCGAGGCCAUCCACAACGCCAAGCCAGUGAUGCCUCCUCACGAGCUCUACUCACGCCUCCUCUUCACCGAGCAACGCGUCGAGGCUCGUCGCUCCUCCGCCACCAUCACCGCCCAGCCGGCGGCCUUCUGGGCCUCUCGUGGCCAGCGCCCACCUGCCCCGUCACCUGGCAAGGCAGCCCCGCCCCCUGCAUCGACCCUUGGUGGGGGCCCUAACACUAGGGUGGUGUGCCAGCUAUGUGGUCGUGAACGCCAUGUCGCCUCCAAGUGUCACCGCCACUUUUAG